AAUAUGUAUUUGAUAGAAGAAAAAAAGGAAACUAUUACGUAAUAAGCAGAAUCUAGGCGAAUCUAAAAUCUGCAUUAGUAAGUUUGUAAACGCAGAAAAAUUGCAUAGAAGAUGAGACAUAUGCAGUUCUGAACAAUUCUGCUGACGCUAUACUUAGCUCUGCCUCACAGCCUUCAAUUAAUUCCUUCAACUGUUCACUUGGCCCCAUCAU